CACUGCACUCCAGCCUGGGCAACAGAGCAAGACUCCAUCUAAGAAAAAAAAAAAAGUUUUCUGAUUGUUUCUUUUCCUCUUUAGUUGGGAGAGACUUGAGCAGGGUGAUGUUUGGGUGCCCAACCUUAGGCUGCAGCAUUAGGGAAUUUCAGAGUUAGCAGAGGCUACAGAAUCAUCCCAUCCGUGCCUCUAGGACAUCCUCCUGGAGAGCCAGGAGUCGCUGGGUAGGAUCAGCCCAUUCAUUGCUUUUUAUUGAGCCUACAACAGUCCAGGCCCCUUGGCCUCCCACUGCUGUGGGCAGCAGACAAACACAACCACUCUCACACCUGGCCUGGGAAGGGUAACGGGAGCUCAGGGACGGGCAAGGCUGGCUGGCUCUGGGGCCCUCAGAGAAGCAGUAGAAAUCCAGCAGGUAGAAGGGGCAUUCCGGCAAAGAAGAAAGGGCCACGCUGAGUGGCUGACGCUCUGGGGCACUGGGGAGGAGGCAGGAAGCUGCUCCGGGGUUCGAUGGUAGAGGAAGUGUUAGAGGACAAAUGUAGAGGACAUUCUCUUGUAGAGAAGUUGACUUCUGUAGUGAUGUUUGUGUUUUUUUCAUGUUUUCCUUCCCACCGAAGGGUCUCUUGUUUGUUUUGUUCUUUUUCUUUGUUUUGUCUGCUUUAAGGUAGACUCGUGUAUUGUUCAGGCCCAGAGGCUUGUGCUUGUAGCCAUAGAAAGAUGGGUUGCCGUGCACAAGACGUGACGGGAGGCUGCUGAGAUGUUCCAGGCAGGUGCUGGCGAGGCCUGGAGGAAAGACAGGAGCUGGGACGGUGGUGGAUCUGCCUCCUGGCAGCCCGCUGGAAAUUGAAGCAAGCAGAAGGGAGGAGAUUGGGGAUCCCAGGACUUUGCCAAGAGGGUGGGGUCUCUCAUCAGUAGGGGACAGGGACCGUGCAGGAGGAUGUGGCCUUCGUGUACCUUUCUAGGGCUGGUGGGGGUCUCUCCAGGUUGUCCCCCACUGGGCUACAGGAAGGACCGCAUUCCUCUGAGGGCUGUCUGCCCUUGAAGAAGGAAAUGUUAGUUGGAGAAGCAGAAGGUGUGGGAAGAAGGACCACAAAUGGGUGAGACUCCCCCGUUCCCCAGGCCUGGAUCUGAAGAGGUGUCGGAUGCUCCAGGGCCAAGGCCAGGAGAGGGGAGGCAGUGAUCACAGGGCGUGUCCCAGAUGGCCGGAGUGUGAGCAGAGGGCCCCGCCGCUCCGUGAGGGUAGGGCGACCGUGGAUCCUGGCAUGGCCAGGUCAGCCCUAGUUUAUUCUGUUGUUCUGCAGUAAUUAUGACUUUGACUCUCAAAAGUGUCCCAGUUUGGACACUAAAUUACAUGGUGGCUAUAGAGAACUGGGACACAGCAGGGUCACUUUAUUAAUGGAGCUGGUGGCUGUCAGAUGGGCUUGGCCAAAGCCUGCAGGAGCCUGUCCUCUACCCUUCACCGCCAGCCCAGCGACUGGGGCCCCGCUCAGGGCACAAAGCCCGGGGUGGCGGCCAGGGAGGACCGCUGUCCUCUAUCCUUCCUCUUACUGCUUGUGGAGAGUCCCCUGCAGGCCUGUCCUUCCUCCUCAGCUCGCCCUGGCCUCACCCUUGCCCCAGGCAUUUCUUUGGGCAUGAGGAGAGCUCAACACACCCUGAAGGUUCAACCAGGUCCUCAGCCUUUCCUGGUGGCACCAUCUUUACCCCAGGGAACUCAAUUUUCUGUACCCCCGCCCCGCCCCCCAGCCCUAGCUGAGCCUUCCUGCCUCUCCUCCCUGCUUGGGACUGCGCUAUACACUCCUGGCUCUCACCCCUGUGCCUCCGUUCCUCCGCCUGCCACUGCUGUCCCCAUUUUGGCUCCAUCCUGGGUCUUGCCCCUCGCCAGGCCUCUGCCUGGACCAUCCGUUCCCCAGGAAGCUUCAGCCCUGGGGUGCCCAUGCCCACAAGCCCACCCCAGCCCUGACACCUCCCAGCCGAGCCAGGAACCUGGGUCCGGGCUCCCUCCUCAACCCUCGAAAGUUCUGCCCAUCUCACCUGCCCUAAGAAUUUGUGGUACCUGCCCUACUUCCACCACUGUCACCCCACUCUUUCCAAAUGCAUCUACCAUCCUGUUCUGUGCCCUGUAUAUUCAUUUUCCACAUAAUUUAAAAUGCAGGUCUGGCCAGGCCCCCUCCACACGGACAACCUGGGUCCUGCUCUCCCCAGACCCCAGCCACCUGCGACCCCUCCUGCCUUAUGCUACCUGUGGCCACUCAGCCUUUGCUCCUGCUGCUGUCCCAACUGAGACGUCCUUCUAACCACCCUCUCUCACCCUCAGCACCUGCCCUGGCUUCACGCUGCUGCCUCCCAGCCACCCGGUACCCUCCACAGCGCCGCCCCUGCCGCUUCUGCCUGGAUCUGUUCUGUGCCCAGCCCGUGUUACUGGCUUGAUCUACUUGCAGGUCUGUCCUCACCAACUCGAACACCCCCGAGGGCAGGAACGGUUUACCUCAGCAUAAAGCACAGUUCCGGGGCCCCAGGAGGAGCUCAGAGGACCUGUGGGAAAUGUGGUUCCCAUGGGCAAUGACUCCCUGAAUGCAACGUCACGUGUCACCUUGGAGGGAAAGACCCCAUAAAAACCUUAAUCAUAUUCAAGGGAAAGGAGCUUGGCUCUUCCUGGGCACAGCCUAACGAUGUUGGUGACUGGGGUAGGAAGGGGACUCAGCUUCUAUUGCACCAUGUCCUCGUCGAUUCUUCUUCAUUCUGUGAGCCCAAGAGGGCAGGGACCAAGGUCAUGUAUCCCAGCAGAGCCUGCACACAGGAGGUACCUAGGUCGUGUUGGUUGGCUGAAAGCCCUGUCACCCAGCAAGAGGCAGGCAGUGAUGAGGGGACCUCAGAGGGGUGCUCUGGACUGUUACCUCAGAAGAGGAACUAUGCAGAGUGGGGCGGGCUGGCUGGGGAUGCAGCCGAGGGAGGAGGCUGACCUCCCAUGGCCACCCCGCACCUCCACGUGCACCAGGGCUUCCCCCGGGAUCAGGGCACUGAACUGCUGUUUAGAUGCAAAGAAAGAGUCCUGGGCUGGGAGUCUGGAGGUUCCAGUCUCUGUUUUCAGCAGUGUGUUUUAGUCAAGGCACUUUUACUCUCUCUGGACUUCUGUCUCCUCAAAUGCAAAAUGAAGAGCUGGACCGGAAACUUGUUCCAUCCAGUUCCAAUAUCUCCUCUUUUGCACGAAGGAUGUGGGCUUGGAGUCAGAGGAACUGGGUUCAAGAGCUGGGGCUCCAUUUACCAGAUGUAAGUCCUUGGCCAGGUUACUUAAUCUCCCAAAGCUGCCAUUUUCUCACCUGUAGAGUGGGACUGACAACCAUUAGCUACCUCUCAGAUUCUUGGGAUUAGAUAUGCUUUCGGGUGAAAACACUCCAUACGCUUUAAGGCACUAUGUGACUGCUGGUUAUUAUUGUGGUUAUUUUUUCUUUUCUAUUUAAUUAAUUAAUUAAUUAUUAUUUACUUAGCAACAGGGUCUCCCUAUGUUGCCUAGGCUAGCCUCAAAACCCAGGGCUCAAAUGAUCCUCCCAUCUUGGCCUUCCAAAAUACUGGGUUUAUAGGCAGGAGCCACCCACCCAGCCUUGUUGUUAUUGCCCUUGAUAGCAUUAUUUUUCACCAAUACCUAAUUAGUUAUUUGAUGAUCUCUCAUCUCACUAGAGCUAAGCUCCAGAAGGCAGGAGCUGGCAUGUUCCUGUUUUGUUUUGUUUUGGUUUUGGUUUUGGUUUUUUGUUUUGUUUUGUUUUGUUUUGUUUUUUUGAGACGGAGUCUCUCUCUG